rnacentral:sRNA from 1 species
GCCCGCGGAAACCGGAAGCGGCGGCUGUCCGCGGUGCCGGCUGGGGGCGGAGAGGCGGCGGUGGGCUCCCUGGGGUGUGUGAGCUCGGUGAUGGAGCCGGGCCCGACAGCCGCGCAGCGGAGGUGUUCGUUGCCGCCGUGGCUGCCGCUGGGGCUGCUGCUGUGGUCGGGGCUGGCCCUGGGCGCGCUCCCCUUCGGCAGCAGUCCGCACAGGGUCUUCCACGACCUCCUGUCGGAGCAGCAGUUGCUGGAGGUGGAGGACUUGUCCCUGUCCCUCCUGCAGGGUGGAGGGCUGGGGCCUCUGUCGCUGCCCCCAGACCUGCCGGAUCUGGAUCCUGAGUGCCGGGAGCUGCUGCUGGACUUCGCCAACAGCAGCGCAGAGCUGACAGGGUGUCUGGUGCGCAGCGCCCGGCCCGUGCGCCUCUGUCAGACCUGCUACCCCCUCUUCCAACAGGUCGUCACCAAGAUGGACAACAUCAGCCGAGCCGCUGGGAACCUUAGUUUCCUCCUCUAUAAAGUGGAAAGAACAGCUGCCUAAUGCGGCUGUUGGAAGAAUUAAAAGAGAUAUUGCCUGUGACUUCAUCUUAGUGAUGUGAACAGUCUGGAGCUAGCGGCCAGGACUCCAGUUCCACUCUGCUUAUUAGCGAAUACUUCAGAGAGUCAGAGUUGUGCCAGAAGUCUCUUAAUGGCAGAUAGAAUGCAAAUAGUUGUGAUUCUCUCAGAAUUUUUUAAUACCACAUGGCAGGAGGCAAAUUGUGCAA